AACUAGGAAGUGAUUAUACAUUAAAUUGCAAACUUAAAUUAGCGAAAGCCUUAGUUA
rnacentral:tRNA from 1 species